GACGAAGGAUGCAAGCGUUAUCCGGAUUCAUUGGGUUUAAAGGGUGCGUAGGCGGUCUGAUAAGUCAGUGGUGAAAUCUCUCAGCUUAACUGAGAAACUGCCAUUGAUACUGUUAGUCUAGAGUAUAGAUGACGUUGGCGGAAUAUGACAUGUAGUGGUGAAAUACUUAGAUAUGUCAUAGAACACCGAUUGCGAAGGCAGCUAACGAAACUAUAACUGACGCUGAGGCACGAAAGUGCGGGGAUCAAACAGG
rnacentral:rRNA from 1 species